UGGAACUUGAGGCUGGCAGGUGUUAUGGGCAUAACGGGGUGGGGGGGCUCUGAUUCAUAUGUCGAAUCCUAACCCCCAGUCCCUCCGAAUGGGCCUGUAUUUGAAGAUAGGGCCUCUAAAGAGGUGAUUUAGUUAAAGUAAGGCUGCAUGCGUGGGCCCUAAUCUGCUUUGCCUGAUGUCCUUUUGAGAAGAGAUUAGGACCCAGACACACACGGGGAGGACCGCGUGUGACCCAGGGAGGAGACGGCCAUCUGGACAGGACAUCAGGUCUCAGCCCUGAGUGGUCCCUGCCUUUAGGAAUGUAGGCGGAAACUGGACACAGCAUCGCGGGUACAGAGACCAACCGGGAGUGGACAUUUGAGGGAUAGAGGGGCUCCUGCCUACGUGGAGUCAGCAGACAUUCUACAAAGAAAAGGAGUUGGGGACAUCCAGCGAGUGUCUGAGGCAGCACAGUGCACAAAACUCUAGGAUGUGCGGGACGCUGACACCGCUUAAUCUGGGGGGCAGGGUGUGUUCACUGGACCGUCACAAUUAGUGAACGACAUUGGUGACAGCCUGUCCUACGCGGGUGACCCGAGUCAGCUCCAUCCACCCUCAGCAAACCCCGUGAGACCGGCCCUCUUGGCGCCCCCAUUUUACAUAUGAGAAAAUAGAGGCACAAAGAGAGACUGCGACGGCAAAGAUUACACGGCUGGUGAGAAGCAGGAGGAAACGUGUGAGAGGGAGAAGAGACUCGAAGAGAAAGGACAGGUGAGGGCCGAGGGAGCAAGGCCUUGACCCCAGUCGGAGUGACUUCAGCACGCUUAUUGGAAGCCUUCAGGGAAGAACGGUUUGACUCAUCCCUGGGGGUGCAGACAGAGCUCAGGCUGAAGGUGAGCCCCACGAGACAGUUACUGAGAGAAGCGAACACGUCAGUGAAAGAGGAGAAUUGGAACCCAGCCUUUAUUCAUGAGGCUGCAUCUGUGGUGAAAGCUGGGAGCUCCAAAGAGAUGCCUGCUGUGGGUGCAAAAGCAGC
rnacentral:lncRNA from 9 species